AAUAAACGACUCUCGGCAACGGAUAUCUCGGCUCUCGCAUCG
rnacentral:rRNA from 1 species